rnacentral:lncRNA from 1 species
UUUAUAAUGUGAUAGAUGAUAGGUGAGACGACUAGAUUUUAAAAAUAAGGUUAAUUUCAUACAGGUUCCUGCAAAUAUAGUCAAAGAUAAAUAUAUUCUUACAAAGUUCAACUUUCAUAAAUUAUUCAUGCAAAAAUCCUGAUAUUUUUAAAUAAGGGCAAUUGCUUGUAUACUCCUGAAAGUUUCUGACUUUCUAAUUUACUCCUCUUGGAAGGCUAAUAUUGAAAAUAUUUUUUUUACGUUCUAACCUAUUUUUUUUAAUAUUUUAAAAUAUAUUACAUUAAAUCUAAAUUUUAAAAUACAAAUUCAAAUAUAAUAUCAAAUUUUUAUAUACAUAUUAUAUAUAAUGUAAAAUAAAUUCGGGUUCGGGUUCGGGUUCAGGUCGGAAAUAAUCAAAAUCCAUAUCCGAAUCCAUAUACAUUGGAUUUUUAUUUUUGAUAUUCAUAUGCGAAACCAUAUCCGUUUAGCAUUUAGUAAAUCUGCUCCAUUCGAAUUCGGGUUCGAAUAAAAUUUCGGGUAUCCGUAUCCAUUAACAUCCCUGGUUAUUAGGGGUGAAAACGAAUAGGAUAUUAUUCGAAAAUAUUCGGAUCCGGAUAGAAAAUAUCUGGAUCGGAUCGGAUACGGAUACGGAUACGGAUAUGGUUUUAUAGAGUUAACUUUUUUCGGAUAUCAGAAAAAAUGAAUAUGAAUGUAGAUAUCCGGACUUUAGUAUUAUUAUUUUUAUAUUUUUUAUAUUUUUGGAUCUGCCCGACUCA